rnacentral:tRNA from 1 species
GCGAAGGUGGCGGAAUUGGNNCUUCAGGUGUUAGUGUCCUUUGGAUGUGGGGGUUCGAGUCCCCCCCCUCGCACCA